CCGGCAUGGACAGUUUCUUUGCCAAUGCAAAGUGUGACCUUUGAAGAGAGGUUCGAGUUGGUGGGCGUUGGCGGCUUUGACCCAGCACGUCGUGCCUCUUACCCCCUACUCGCAUCCUUAUUGCUGGGGCCCACGAGUAUUUCCAAGGUUGUUAGCGCUUGAUCACGCUCAGGGGAUACGACCCGUGCUAGAUGUCGAAUAGCAUGCUCCCUUAAAGCUAUCCCCGGUAAAACCAACGUGCUUCCGGUCAGAAUUUAAUUUCGCAUACUUGCUGAUAAGCCUCGUGCGGGUAGAAACCCGUUUUUACUGCGUUUAUGGGAACGAAGAAGGCACGUAGCUAGUUUGUCUA
rnacentral:sRNA from 2 species